GGGGCUGUAGCUCAGUGGUAGAGCACCUGCCUAGCAUGCGUGAGGCACUGGGUUCAACCCCCAGAACCACA
rnacentral:tRNA from 1 species